GAAAAAUCUUAAGGCACUUAUCGUGGUGGGAUGGCGCAUGGGCAGGAUGGUGUAACCAUCCGGCGAUAGCCACCCAUGCGCAGACAAACAGGCUCCCCAGGGAGCCUUUUUUUAUGGCCUGAA
rnacentral:sRNA from 1 species